UGGGGAAUAUUGGACAAUGGAGGCAACUCUGAUCCAGCAAUUCUGUGUGUGUGAAGAAGGUUUUAGGACUGUAAAACACUUUUAGUAGGGAAGAAAGAAAUGACGGUACCUACAGAAGAAGCGACGGCUAAAUACGUGCCAGCAGCCGCGGUAAUACGUAUGUCGCGAGCGUUAUCCGGAAUUAUUGGGGUUAAAGGGCAUCUAGGCGGUUAAACAAGUUGAAGGUGAAAACCUGUGGCUCAACCAUAGGCUUGCCUACAAAACUGUAUAACUAGAGUACUGGAAAGGUGGGUGGAACUACACGAGUAGAGGUGAAAUUCGUAGAUAUGUGUAGGAAUGCCGAUGAUGAAGAUAACUCACUGGACAGCAACUGACACUGAAGUGCGAAAGCUAGGGGAGCAAACAGG
rnacentral:rRNA from 1 species